UACGUAGGGGGCAAGCGUUGCUCGGAAUCACUGGGCGUAAAGCGCACGUAGGCGGGUCUUUAAGUCAGGGGUGAAAUCCUGGAGCUCAACUCCAGAACUGCCUUUGAUACUGAGGAUCUCGAGUCCGGGAGAGGUGAGUGGAACUCCGAGUGUAGAGGUGAAAUUCGUAGAUAUUCGGAAGAACACCAGUGGCGAAGGCGGCUCACUGGCCCGGUAUUGACGCUGAGGUGCGAAAGCGUGGGGAGCAAACAGG
rnacentral:rRNA from 1 species